rnacentral:sRNA from 1 species
UUUCUUUUGAAACUAAGGAGCAGGUUCCUUUUAUGAACCACUCUCAGUUCUGGCUUGGUUAUGAGAAUCGUCUUAGUCUCGAGCUAAAGGUUUCUCUGAUGAUUCAAUCUAAACUGGCUGGAGUGGCUGUAUUCUAUGUCAACGACGACGAUGUCAGUGGCUAUUUCUGCAAGGAAGGAGUGUUUCCCUUCAUGCGUUACGUAUACAUGGCCUGCCUCAAUAUGAAUUAUUAUGCGACAGGCUAACGUAACUUGUAUUCAGCCUGAUGAACUUGUGUAGUCCAAUAAAAUGUCAAGUGUCUCUGUUAA